AUGAACGCUAGCUACAGGCUAACACAUGCAAGUCGAGGGGCAGCAUGAAACUUAGCUUGCUAAGUUUGAUGGCGACCGGCGCACGGGUGAGUAACACGUAUCCAACCUACCGUUUACUACGGGAUAGCCUUCUGAAAAAGGAGAUUAAUACCGUAUGGUAUUCAAAGUUUCAUGACAUUAGAUAAAGGUUUACCGGUAAUCGAUGGGGAUGCGUUCCAUUAGAUAGUAGGCGGGGUAACGGCCCACCUAGUCAGCGAUGGAUAGGGGUUCUGAGAGGAGGGUCCCCCACAUUGGAACUGAGACACGGUCCAAACUCCUACGGGAGGCAGCAGUGAGGAAUAUUGGUCAAUGGGCGAGAGCCUGAACCAGCCAAGUAGCGUGAAAAGGAUGACUGCCCUAUGGGUUGUAAACUUCUUUUAUAAAGGAAUAAAGUGGUCCACGUGUGGAUUUUUGUAUGUACUUUAUGAAUAAGGAUCGGCUAACUCCGUGCCAGCAGCAGC
rnacentral:rRNA from 1 species